rnacentral:rRNA from 1 species
ACAGCAGUAGCCGCGGGAAUACGAAGGGUGCAAGCGUUACUCGGAAUUACUGGGCGUAAAGCGUGCGUAGGUGGUGGUUUAAGUCCGUUGUGAAAGCCCUGGGCUCAACCUGGCAAUUGCAGUGGAUACUGGGUCACUAGAGUGUGGUAGAGGAUAGUGGAAUUUCCGGUGUAGCAGUGAAAUGCGUAGAGAUCGGAAGGAACAUCUGUGGCGAAGGCGACUAUCUGGGCCAACACUGACACUGAGGCACGAAAGCGUGGGGAGCAAACAGGAUUAGAUACCCCUGUAGUCCCUGUCUCUUAUAC